GACGAACGCUGGCGGCGUGCUUAACACAUGCAAGUCGAACGGAAAGGCCCUGCUUUUGUGGGGUGCUCGAGUGGCGAACGGGUGAGUAACACGUGAGUAACCUGCCCUUGACUUUGGGAUAACUUCAGGAAACUGGGGCUAAUACCGGAUAGGAGCUCCUGCUGCAUGGUGGGGGUUGGAAAGUUUCGGCGGUUGGGGAUGGACUCGCGGCUUAUCAGCUUGUUGGUGGGGUAGUGGCUUACCAAGGCUUUGACGGGUAGCCGGCCUGAGAGGGUGACCGGCCACAUUGGGGCUGAGAUACGGCCCAGACUCCUACGGGAGGCAGCAGUGGGGAAUAUUGCACAAUGGGCGGAAGCCUGAUGCAGCAACGCCGCGUGCGGGAUGACGGCCUUCGGGUUGUAAACCGCUUUCGCCUGUGGCGAAGCGUGAGUGGCGGUAAUGGGUAAAGAAGCACCGGCUAACUACGUG
rnacentral:rRNA from 1 species